AAAUCAGAUUGGGCGUAGCAAUUGACCGGAGAAGUUUUGCUUAAGACAGCUCUCAAGUUUUAUUUUGAUCAUGUAAUUUCUUAUUUCAUGACCAGAGGUCCACCUAUUCUGGGCCCCAUUUAUUUAGGCCAGCUAUCCUUUUAUGCCAUCCAGCAGGAAGCCAUUGGGCCAUGUAGAAACGCGUGUGUUUGUACAUAUUGUAAAUAAAACUAUAUAUAACAAAACUGUAUUGUGUGAUUUUGGGAAGCCGCUAGCCACUCUCUAUCCUUUUAUGCCAUCCAGCAGGAAGCCAUUGGGC